AAAUAUUUGUUUAUGGUUACGGAAAUGUCAUUGCAUUCGGAACCGAUUGAUCCAAUGUUGUUAGUAUUGCAACAAAAUCAUCGUUCUAGAGCCAUUUGGACAAAUCGAGAUUAUAAUCCUCGACUCAGCGUCGGUCGGUACGAUAUGCAGACACAAAGUCGAGAUGUUCGCCAUCCUGAAAUGCUUCAUUACCUACGUGUUGCAGGGUUUUACGGAGUUACUCACCUAACAAAUAUAAAGUUAGACCACGCAUUAAUUGACGCCCUUAUAGAGCGUUGGCGUGCAGAGGUCCACGCCUUUCACAUGCCCUUCGGUGAGGUGGGAAUUACACUUCAAGAUAUUGAAGUGUUAUUGAGAUUGAAGGUGGAUGGCCUACCAGUUACGGGGGGAGAUAAGCGGUCUGUCCAAGAGUGAAGUCUGUUUUUUUCGAAUUGUUUGGAAUUGAACUUCUAGAUAAAUUCGUUACAACUAGUAAGGUUAAUUUAACAGGUUUACCCAAUGUUCAGAAACUCAUGCCUAACAGCUCAAAUUUUGAGGUGAAAAAAGCCACGCAGAUACUUAUAUUUCAUUUAUUAGGAGGAUUUCUAUUCCUCGAAACAAAUAAGACAGAUGUGAAAUUAUUUUUGCUCGAGUAUAUUCGUGAUUUUGAAGUGUAGGUGCGGUCAAUAUAGUAAGGGAUCGGCAACUUUAGCGUAUCUGUACAGGGCGUUGUGUAGAGAGGCCCAUCAUGAAACUAAGACCGUAUGCGGAUGCUUAUUAUUGGUACAAAUUUGGGCAUGGGAGCGAUUGCCUAUGGUUAGGCCACAAGGCGUUUUGCCUCAGGAAAUACUUGGAGAUUUGCCACUUGCAGCAAGGUGGAAUUGCCGGCAUUCAUGGCGUUCUGUCCCCGGACACGUGGAACGAGUUUAUCGCGGCCAAUUGGAUCGACUUAGUGCAAGCAAAACUGCCGUUUGGGUACUGCAAAUGAUGAUUGGAGUGUAAAGCAUACGACGCAUGUGCAACAAUGGAAUAGUCGAGGUUUAUUCAUUACAGAAAUGGCGCAUAAGGAAGAAACAACGAUUACUAAUGCAUACCGAGAUUAGUUCUACCUGUAUGGUCGAAGGUUCAUUGGCAACCCUGACCAUAACCCAGACGAUGGUUAUUUGCAAAGUGUUGCUUCAGUUAAUAAAUUGAUGCAAGGGAUGCAAGCAAUGAAAUUGAGAACUGAUGCAGCACUUUUCAAUCCUGCCGACCAUGCUAAUGCCAUUAUGGAUGUGAAUAAUAUGGCUCGGAAAUAUAUAACGCGUAGCGUUUAUGAAAAUGUGGAGUGUGUCCCAACCGAUGUUAUAAAUUGCUCAGCUUUGGAUGAGCAGAUAGACAAUCACCGUACUGAUUUGCGACGACAACGUGCACAUAGGCGUGGACAACCGGGAUAUGGCGGGAGGCGGAUGCGUGCUAUUAAUGCAGUGUUACAUGCAGAGGUUGCACAACGUUGUAACGAGCAAGCAGCUAAUACAGAGGAUGACUUUGAUAACUAGCGAUGGAUAUUGGCUCUCAGUACUCGACCUUUGCUAGUCCUACGAGUGUGAUGCAUAAUCCCAAACAGCAGGGGUCAUAUUACCACCCAAUUCAGGAUUUCCAAUUGCAUGCAUCUUCUAGUCAAGCUGGAAUUAGUAAUCAAGUUGGUGAAGAACAACAUUAUGAUGCGCCGACUAUGUAUGACUUUUUCGAUGAGC